CUGUUGGCUAAACGUGCGCGGUGUCCCAACGUCUUCGGGAGGGAUGUACGUAUUAUGUAUAAACGCUAACUUAUUAUAGCUCGAUAACCCGCACUCGAAAAAUCAAUGAGGAGGGUCAUUGUGCUAUGAUAGACGCAGUGUUGAAUCAUAUUACGUGUCGAAUCAUACGGCUCUUAAAGCUAAUGAUGCUCCAUUCAAAUUUCUGUCUCAUCAACUUGAUGGUAGGAUAGUGGCCUACCAUGGUCGUGACGGGUAACGGGGAAUUAGCGUUCGAUUCCGGAGAGGGAGCCUGAGAGACGGCUACCACUACUACGGGAGGCAGCAGGCGCGCAACUUACCCAAUCCUGAUCCAGGGAGGUAGUGACGAAACAUACCACGGGUAUAAUCGAAAAGAUUUGAGACGUGGAAUGCGUUCAAUCUGCAUCAUUGAACGAUAAUCAAUU
rnacentral:rRNA from 1 species